AAAAUAAACCUUGGAAACAAUCACUAAAUAUGGAAAUUAUAGUAAUAAAAUUAUUAAUUAUGACAAUUUACCCUUUGUCAUAUAAAUCACAACAAUCUACGGCAUCAACAUUUUACAAAGAUUUCCCCGCAGAAACUGAAAGAAGUUGACAGGAAGUACUCUGAAUUCUUCUCUUUCUUCACUGGGGUUGUGCUAUUGGUUGGAUUGGGAGGGAAGAGUUUCUUAUAAGCUCAUGCUUGAAGCUACUACUUCUAUCCACUUUAUGUCAGAAAGUAUUCCUCCAUCGCAUCAUUGCCAUACCACUACUAAUUUUUGAUUGUUACCUAUUCUUCCCACCUAAAACACAAGCCAAUCAUACCCAGAAACCACGGUCACUGAUUGAUGCAAAAAUAACCAAACAUUUUCCCCUUUCCCUAUCCCAAAAAGUGAUGUUACCCAACAUUGAUUGAUGAAAAAAUAACCAAACAUUUCUUACUUUUACACGUGUGACGAAAAAGAAAGUAUAAUAUAUGUUACAUAUCAACCUGCUUAUUCUAAUUCUGCUCCCUCCCUCUCUAUUUGAUACAUUUAUUCAACAAAUAAUUACCAUAUACAUAUACAUAGAUUUCAUUUUCCAUGAGAUGCCUUCUUGUAGGUUCAUAAUAAUCUCUUCAACUUUUGAAUAUGAUUACAAAACCAUCAACAGUCUCUGCAAUGACUUUGACCUGCAUCUGGGAACAAGGCAGACCAAGUAUAGCCCUUCAAAAAUAGCUACUUUUUUUUUUUUUUUUGGGUCUAUUCACUCCAUCAUAGCCACUGCAGAAGGGUCAUUAGCAACAAUUUGAUAAGCAUCUUCAUCAUCAUUUUCUCUAUCCCCUUCUUGAUUCUGGUCAACAUUUUCGCUUUCUCCAUCCUCUGUUGUUGCUGAUUCUUGUUGUUGUCGUUCUUCUUGGCUAUCCACCAUAUGCAUUAGAAUUUCUUCAGGCUUCAACUCAUGACCAGAAUUAACUGAAUUAUCAACUUUUCUAGUCUUCUUGUUAUAUAGAACAUCAAGCUGGUGAAAAUAAGGACAAGUCUUUGAAUCAUCAGGCCUUUUCUUAUUGCUCUCUCUUACUCUCUUGAAGUACUUGUUCAUAUUCUCCCAUUUCUCUUUGCACCUCUUCGCAUUUCUAUUAUAACCAAGCUUUUUCAUUGCUGCUGAUAUCUCCUCCCACAAAGGCCCUUUGGGUCCAUUCUCUUGAUAUUGCAUAUCAAGGGUAGUCCUUAGCCUAAUCAAAGCUUCAAUUUCUUUUUUAGGCCAUCUUGAAGAGCUCAUAUGAACAAAAUUCUCAAGACUAUUAUUUUCCUGUGCCUUCACUACUUUCUCCACAGGAACUAUUUGGUUCUUAGACAAUUGCACUGGACAUACUUG
rnacentral:misc_RNA from 1 species